UACGUAGGCAGCGAGCGUUGUUCGGAGUUACUGGGCGUAAAGAGUGCGUAGGCGGUUUUCUAAGUUUGGUGUGAAAUCUCCCGGCUCAACUGGGAGGGUGCGCCGAAGACUGGAAGGCUAGAGUGUGGGAGAGGUAAGCGGAAUUCCUGGUGUAGCGGUGAAAUGCGUAGAUAUCAGGAGGAACACCUGCGGUGUAGACGGCUUACUGGACCAUGACUGACGCUGAGGCACGAAAGCGUGGGUAGCAAACAGG
rnacentral:rRNA from 1 species